UACGUAGGGUCCGAGCGUUGUCCGGAAUUACUGGGCGUAAAGAGCUCGUAGGUGGUUUGUCGCGUUGUUCGUGAAAACUCACAGCUCAACUGUGGGCGUGCGGGCGAUACGGGCAGACUGGAGUACUGCAGGGGAGACUGGAAUUCCUGGUGUAGCGGUGGAAUGCGCAGAUAUCAGGAGGAACACCUGUGGCGAAGGCGGCCCCCUGGUUGGAUACUGACGCUGAGACGCGAAAGCGUGGGGAGCAAACAGG
rnacentral:rRNA from 1 species